GCAGCGAAAUGCGAUACGUCUUGCGACUUGCAGAAUCCCGUGAAUCAUCGAAACUUCGAACGCAUCUUGCGCUCCCGGGAUAUGCCUGGGAGCAUGCUUGUCGGGGAGGA
rnacentral:rRNA from 1 species